AUGGGUUCUCUGACCAUGGUUCUUCACUCUUGUCACUCAAUAAUUAGGUCAGGUUCUAUUAUUUUAACCUCUUUGGCUCCUUGGCAUCACAAACACACCUAUCUGGCUAGAGAGGUUCUGUCACCUUGGAGCUGGGGAGGAGAGGAGAGGAGAGGAGAGAGCACAGGUUUGCAAAGAGCUUCUUAUACUAAUUCAUUUGAUUCUCACUGUGACCCUGGGAAGUCAGUGAUCUUACUUCACCCCAUUUCACAGAUGAGGAAACCAAGGCAAGGAGAAAGAAAAUGACAUACCCAGCAUUACACAGCUAGUAUCUGAGUUGGUGACCUCAGCAUCCUCUGCUAACACUGC
rnacentral:lncRNA from 1 species